rnacentral:rRNA from 1 species
AACGAACGCUGGCGGCAGGCUUAACACAUGCAAGUCGAACGCACCUUCGGGUGAGUGGCAGACGGGUGAGUAACGCGUGGGAAUCUACCCAGCUCUACGGAAUAACACAUGGAAACGUGUGCUAAUACCGUAUACGUCCUUCGGAGAAAGAUUUAUCGGAGUUGGAUGAGCCCGCGUUAGAUUAGCUAGAUGGUGGGGUAAUGGCCUACCAUGGCGACGAUCUAUAGCUGGUCUGAGAGGAUGAUCAGCCACACUGGAACUGAGACACGGUCCAGACUCCUACGGGAGGCAGCAGUGGGAAUAUUGGACAAUGGGCGCAAGCCUGAUCCAGCCAUGCCGCGUGAGUGAUGAAGGCCCUAGGGUUGUAAAGCUCUUUCAACGGUGAAGAUAAUGACGGUAACCGUAGAAGAAGCCCCGGCUAAC